GUAUUAAAGGUCCUGCCUGCCCAGUGAAGUAUUUUAAACGGCCGCGGUAUUCUAACCGUGCAAAGGUAGCGUAAUCAUUUGUCUUCCAAAUAAAGACCAGUAUGAAUGGCUAAAUGAGGACAAACCUGUCUCCUGCAACCCAUCAGUGAAACUGAUCUUCCAGUACAAAAGCUGGAAUAUAAACAUAAGACGAGAAGACCCUGUGGAGCUUAAAAUUCACCCACUAAUACAAACUAGUGAAAAAUUUUAAGUUGGGGCGACUUCGGAAUACAACAAAACUUCCGAGCACAGAACCACCAAUUCUAACCAAGGCAAACGAGCCUAAGAAAAACUGACCCAGUCAUACUGACCAACGAACCAAGUUACCCCAGGGAUAACAGCGCUAUCUUCUUCAAGAGUCCAUAUCGACAAGAAGGUUUACGACCUCGAUGUUGGAUCAGGGCACCCCGAUGGUGCAACCGCUAUUAAAGGUUCGUUUGUUCAACGAUUAACAGCCCUACGUGAUCUGAGU
rnacentral:rRNA from 1 species